rnacentral:rRNA from 1 species
UACGAAGGGGGCUAGCGUUGCUCGGAAUCACUGGGCGUAAAGCGCACGUAGGCGGUCUUUUAAGUCAGGGGUGAAAUCCUGGAGCUCAACUCCAGAACUGCCUUUGAUACUGAGGAUCUUGAGUUCGGGAGAGGUGAGUGGAACUGCGAGUGUAGAGGUGAAAUUCGUAGAUAUUCGCAAGAACACCAGUGGCGAAGGCGGCUCACUGGCCCGAUACUGACGCUGAGGCACGAAAGCGUGGGGGAGCAAACAGG